AAGGGUCACCGUGAAUCGUGGCCUGAUGCAGCUGAUCUCACCGAUCCGCUCAUCGUUCCGUUUUACCAACGCCUGCAACUCAGUCUCGGCCCCGAUCCCCGGCGGCUGCGAUUUCCAAUCAAUAGUUCCAGGAGUUUGUAAUGUCUGAGCGUCAGACCGGCACGGUGAAGUGGUUCAACGAUGCCAAGGGUUUUGGUUUCAUCACCCCGGAAAGCGGCCCCGACCUGUUCGUGCACUUCCGCGCCAUCCAGGGCACCGGCUUCAAGUCGCUGCAGGAAGGCCAGAAGGUGACCUUCGUCGCCGUGCAGGGCCAGAAGGGCAUGCAGGCUGACCAGGUGCAGGCGCUGUAAUCCAGCCCCAGCAACCGCAAGGUCGCCACGACGCCGGAAGCGAAAGCUUCCGGCGUUUUU
rnacentral:sRNA from 1 species